CCAGGGUAGAUGCAGCCUUUUCCCCCACACAUGAGACAAGGCUCUAUGUUGAGGGUAAAACAGGAACUCUUUAAUGCAAAGCAAGCACUUACAAUUUAUACACACAUUUAAACCCCCAACAGCCUCAUUACAUACAAUAGGUUACAUAGAGCACUAUAGUACAAGGAAGGGGGGGGUCAGACAAUAGGGAGAUUGAGUAGGGACAAAGCAGCCAGUUUAAACUGGUCUGGCA